AGUGGCGGACGGGUGAGUAACACGUAAGAAUUUGCCUUUAGGAGGGGGACAACAACUGGAAACGGUUGCUAAUACCCCAUAUGCUUUCGAGUGAAAUGGAUUUCCGCCUAGAGAGAAGCUUGCGGCUGAUUAGCUUGUUGGUGAGGUAAUGGCUCACCAAGGCGACGAUCAGUAUCUGGUUUGAGAGGACGAUCAGACACACUGGAACUGAGACACGGUCCAGACUCUUACGGGAGGCAGCAGUGGGGAAUUUUCCGCAAUGGGCGAAAGCCUGACGGAGCAAUACCGCGUGAGGGAUGACGGCCUAUGGGUUGUAAACCUCUUUUUUCAGGGAGGAAUCAAUGACGUGUACCUGAAGAAUAAGCAUCGGCUAACUCCGUGCCAGCAGCCGCGGUAAGACGGAGGAUGCAAGUGUUAUCCGGAAUCACUGGGCGUAAAGCGUCUGUAGGUGGUCCAAUAAGUCAACUGUUAAAUCUUGAGGCUCAACCUCAAAAUCGCAGUCGAAACUAUUAGACUAGAGUAUAGUAGGGGUAAAGGGAAUUUCCAGUGGAGCGGUGAAAUGCGUAGAGAUUGGAAAGAACACCGAUGGCGAAGGCACUUUACUGGGCUAUUACUAACACUCAGAGACGAAAGCUAGGGUAGCAAAUGGGAUUAGAUACCCCAGUAGUCCUAGCCGUAAACAAUGGAUACUAGAUGUUGA
rnacentral:rRNA from 1 species